rnacentral:rRNA from 1 species
GAUGAACGCUGGCGGCGGGCUUAACACAUGCAAGUCGAACGAUAAGGCCAGGCUUGCUGGGUGGUUUAGGGGCGAAGGGGUGGGUAACAGGGGAUUACCUGGCCCUUAACUUUGGGUUAGGCCGGGAAAACUGGGCCUAUACCCGAAUAGGGCCUUCCACCGCCGGGUGGGUUUUGGAAAUAUUUAUCGGUUUUGGAUGGACUCGCGGCCUAUCAGCUUGUUGGUGGGGUAAGGGUUCCCCAAGGCGACGACGGGUAUCCGGCCUGAGAGGGUGACCGGCCACACUGGGACUGAGACACGGCCCAGACUCCUACGGGAGGCAGCAGUGGGGAAUAUUGCACAAUGGGCGCAAGCCUGAUGCAGCGACGCCGCGUGAGGGAUGACGGCCUUCGGGUUGUAAACCUCUUUCAGUAGGGAAGAAGCGAAAGUGACGGUACCUGCAGAAGAAGCACCGGCUAACUACGUG